AUUGAACGCUGGCGGCAUGCUUUACACAUGCAAGUCGAACGGUAACAGGUCUUCGGAUGCUGACGAGUGGCGAACGGGUGAGUAAUGUAUCGGAACGUGCCCAGUAGUGGGGGAUGACUACUCGAAAGAGUGGCUAAUACCGCAUGAGAACUGAGGUUGAAAGUGGGGGACCGCAAGGCCUCACGCUACUGGAGCGGCCGAUAUCAGAUUAGGUAGUUGGUGGGGUAAAGGCCUACCAAGCCUGCGAUCUGUAGCUGGUCUGAGAGGACGACCAGCCACACUGGGACUGAGACACGGCCCAGACUCCUACGGGAGGCAGCAGUGGGGAAUUUUGGACAAUGGGCGCAAGCCUGAUCCAGCAAUGCCGCGUGCAGGACGAAGGCCUUCGGGUUGUAAACUGCUUUUGUACAGAACGAAAAAGCCUCUUCUAAUAUAGGGGGUGCAUGACGGUACUGUAAGAAUAAGCACCGGCUAACUACGUGCCAGCAGCAGCCGCAG
rnacentral:rRNA from 1 species